rnacentral:rRNA from 1 species
GGAAUAUUGGACAAUGGGGGCAACCCUGAUCCAGCAAUGCCGCGUGUGCGAAGAAGGUCUUCGGAUUGUAAAGCACUUUCGACGGGGACGAUGAUGACGGUACCCGUAGAGGAAGCCCCGGCUAACUUCGUGCCAGCAGCCGCGGUAAUACGAAGGGGGCUAGCGUUGCUCGGAAUGACUGGGCGUAAAGGGCGUGUAGGCGGUUUACACAGUCAGAUGUGAAAUCCCCGGGCUUAACCUGGGAGCUGCAUUUGAUACGUGUAGACUAGAGUGUGAGAGAGGGUUGUGGAAUUCCCAGUGUAGAGGUGAAAUUCGUAGAUAUUGGGAAGAACACCGGUGGCGAAGGCGGCAACCUGGCUCAUGACUGACGCUGAGGCGCGAAAGCGUGGGGAGCAAACAGGAUUAGAUACCCUGGUAGUCCACGCUGUAAACGAUGUGUGCUAGAUGUUGGGUAACUUUGUUAUUCAGUGUCGCAGUUAACGCGUUAAGCACAC